UGGGGAAUAUUGCACAAUGGGCGAAAGCCUGAUGCAGCAACGCCGCGUGAGGGACGACGGCCUUCGGGUUGUAAACCUCUUUUAGCAAGGAAGAAGCGAAAGUGACGGUACUUGCAGAAAAAGCGCCGGCUAACUACGUGCCAGCAGCCGCGGUAAUACGUAGGGCGCAAGCGUUAUCCGGAAUUAUUGGGGCGUAAAGAGCUCGUAGGCGGUUUGUCGCGUCUGCUGUGAAAACCCGAGGCUCAACCUCGGGCCUGCAGUGGGUACGGGCAGACUAGAGUGCGGUAGGGGAGAUUGGAACUCCUGGUGUAGCGGUGGAAUGCGCAGAUAUCAGGAAGAACACCGAUGGCGAAGGCAGAUCUCUGGGCCGUAACUGACGCUGAGGAGCGAAAGGGUGGGGAGCAAACAGGCUUAGAUACCCUGGUAGUCCACCCCGUAAACGUUGGGAACUAGUUGUGGGGUCCAUUCCACGGAUUCCGUGACGCAGCUAACGCAUUAAGUUCCCCGCCUGGGGAGUACGGCCGCAAGGCU
rnacentral:rRNA from 1 species